CCUCCCCUCCUCCCCUCCUCCUUUUCCUCCUUUUUUUUUUUUUUUUUUUUUUUUUCAUUUCACCAACCCUGCUUCCCAAGAUUCAAAAUAAUACAGUAAUAAAAUUAUAACGGUUUGAACCGGCGGUUCACAGGUUGGCAAAAUUACAAAUCGAAAUCGGAUGAUAUUUCGGUUUCGAUUUGUGUCCGAUUUUGGCUCAAACCGUAAUCGCCGGUUCGAAAAGUAACUAUUGUAUAGUUAGCGAGUCGACUCCCUCCGUCUAUAUAUAUAUAUAUAUAUAUAUAGCUACAAACCCCUUUUUUUCGUCUAGAUUCAAAUCCAACUCCUAAAUUAUUCUAUCUCCCUCCUCCGACGCCCACGAAGCAUAUUCGGUCGUAUUUUUGCUAACCGUAUAGCAUGGUAUCCUGCUGUUGUCGGAGCGGUUAGGGGGCUGUAUGCCGAAAUCGACGACGGCGCAUUCCAAAUCCACAGCCCCUUUUGAUAGUCGUCGUUGCUCCGUCUUCAUAAUCCCCACAAUCAUCUUUUUCUACACACAUUGGAUACAUCGUUUCAGCGCCUUGAAUCCGCUGGCACCUUUCGAUUCCGCCGUCCAUAAUUUCCUGUCGGAACCGUCGCGGCACAGAGGACUGGAAUUUCCGAGAUCGAGAGUAUUCCGAUCGCUUUGGACGUAAAUUUCUUCGAUGGCAGCGGCGGCAAAUUCCGCGAAGCAGAGUGGUGAAUAUGUCUCUGUAUUUUUGGCUUCGGAGAUGAUAAAAGAGCUUCCGCCUUGGCGUUGCGGACAUUGCAUUCGCUCAGAGUGUUUGGAUAAAUGGUUAUCGACUCAGUCGAUUUGCCCACUGGGUCGUACAUCGCUUCGAGUUAAUUCAUCGGUACGACUUGCCUUACAUCGUAUCGCAUCGGCUUCUAGAAAACUCUAGUUAGUUUGAUUGGAGGUUGUAUCAUCAAUCAAAAUCGGCUUGAAUCGAAGAGUUUUCUAGAAGCCAAUCCGAUCCGAGGUGGGUCAUAUCGGUGAGUCAACUUCAAGUGAUGUACGACAUAGUGGACAAAUCGACCAAGUCGAUAGCCAUAUGUCCAUACACUCCGAGUGAAAGUAGUGUCCGCAAGGUCAAAGCGAAAGCACUUUUAUUCUCUCUGUAGCCAAAAAUACACCGAGACAUAUACAACACUAAGCUUCAUGGAAUUCGCCGUCGUCGGCGGAGAGGUUUUCAUACAAAAUGGUCGGUAAAUUCUCGAUGCCGGUGAGGUCUAGUCCCCUUUGUUGCGACGGUUCCGGCGGGAAAUAAUGGACGACGGAAUCAAAAGGUGCCAGCGGAUUUGAAGCGCUGAAAUGACGUAUCUAA